rnacentral:lncRNA from 1 species
AGGGAAGGGAGCAAGACUGUUGGUGGGACAUGGUUGUCCCACAGCAAGACUGUUGGUGAGACAGGGCUCCAACUGCCCUGGCCCUCUGCAGAGCCUCCUGAGAAGGAUGUCAUCUUCCUGGUACAGAUGGGAAGAAGGCCAGAUCUGGCUCCUCAUUCCUGAAAACAAACAGCCUUGACCCCAAUGUUGAUAGCAGUUCCUUGCCUCCAACUCCCAGCCUGUCCCUUCGAUGGGCCAGGUAGUUUUCCAUGGCGAUGCAGACCAGCUGACACUCUCUCACCUCUCCUCAGCCAGAAGUGGGCUCCCUGAUCACCACUGGCAAGUUCCUGGAAAAGAGCUUCAAGAUUGGCUUAGACCAUGCUGAAGGUGAGAAACUUGAAUGGAAUUGACAUUCUAUAU